rnacentral:rRNA from 1 species
GACGCUGAGAUGCGAAAGCGUGGGGAGCAAACAGGAUUAGAUACCCUGGUAGUCCACGCUGUAAACGAUGUCGAUUUGGAGUUUGGUGGCAUGACUACUGGGCUCCGAAGCUAACGCGUUAAAUCGACCGCCUGGGGAGUACGGCCGCAAGGUUAAAACUCAAAUGAAUUGACGGGGGCCCGCACAAGCGGUGGAGCAUGUGGUUUAAUUCGAUGCAACGCGAAGAACCUUACCUGGUCUUGACAUCCACAGAAUUUUGUAGAGAUACGAAAGUGCCUUAGGGAGCUGUGAGACAGGUGCUGCAUGGCUGUCGUCAGCUCGUGUUGUGAAAUGUUGGGUUAAGUCCCGCAACGAGCGCAACCCUUAUCCUUUGUUGCCAUCGGUUAGGCCGGGAACUCAAAGGAGACUGCCGUUGAUAAAGCGGAGGAAGGUGGGGACGACGUCAAGUCAUCAUGGCCCUUACGACCAGGGCUACACACGUGCUACAAUGGCGCAUACAAAGAGAAGCAAACCAGCGAUGGCAAGCGGACCUCAUAAAGUGCG